rnacentral:rRNA from 1 species
CCUACGGGAGGCUGCAGUGGGGAAUAUUGCACAAUGGGGGAAACCCUGAUGCAGCGACGCCGCGUGAGUGAAGAAGUACUUCGUUAUGUAAAGCUCUAUCAGCAGGGAAGAAAAUGACGGUACCUUAGUAAGAAGCCCCGGCUAACUACGUGCCAGCAGCCGCGGUAAUACGUAGGGGGCAAGCGUGAUCCGGAUUUACUGGGUGUAAAGGGAGCGUAGACGGCAGUGCAAGUCUGGAGUGAAAGGGGGGGGCUCAACCCCAGGACUGCUCUGGAAACUGUACGGCUGGAGUGCAGGAGAGGUAAGUGGAAUUCCUAGUGUAGCGGUGAAAUGCGUAGAUAUUAGGAGGAACACCAGUGGCGAAGGCGGCUUACUGGACUGUAACUGACGUUGAGGCUCGAAAGCGUGGGGAGCAAACAGGAUUAGAUACCCCAGUAGUC